UACCUUCGGGGGGCUGCAGUGGGGAAUAUUGCACAAUGGGCGCAAGCCUGAUGCAGCCAUGCCGCGUGUAUGAAGAAGGCCUUCGGGUUGUAAAGUACUUUCAGCGGGGAGGAAGGUGUUGUGGUUAAUAACCACAGCAAUUGACGUUACCCGCAGAAGAAGCACCGGCUAACUCCGUGCCAGCAGCCGCGGUAAUACGGAGGGUGCAAGCGUUAAUCGGAAUUACUGGGCGUAAAGCGCACGCAGGCGGUCUUUCAAUUCGGAUGUGAAAUCCCCGGGCUCAACCUGGGAACUGCAUUCGAAACUGGCAGGCUAGAGUCUUGUAGAGGGGGGUAGAAUUCCAGGUGUAGCGGUGAAAUGCGUAGAGAUCUGGAGGAAUACCGGUGGCGAAGGCGGCCCCCUGGACAAAGACUGACGCUCAGGUGCGAAAGCGUGGGGAGCAAACAGGAUUAGAUACCCUAGUAGUCCCC
rnacentral:rRNA from 1 species